AACGAACGCUGGCGGCAUGCCUAACACAUGCAAGUCGAACGAACCCUUCGGGGUUAGUGGCGCACGGGUGCGUAACGCGUGGGAAUCUGCCCUUUGCUUCGGAAUAACAGUUAGAAAUGACUGCUAAUACCGGAUGAUGUCUUCGGACCAAAGAUUUAUCGGCAAGGGAUGAGCCCGCGUAGGAUUAGGUAGUUGGUGGGGUAAAGGCCUACCAAGCCGACGAUCCUUAGCUGGUCUGAGAGGAUGAUCAGCCACACUGGGACUGAGACACGGCCCAGGCUCCUACGGGAGGCAGCAGUGUGGAAUAUUGGACAAUGGGCGCAAGCCUGAUCCAGCAAUGCCGCGUGAGUGAUGAAGGCCUUCGGGUCGUAAAGCUCUUUUACCAGGGAUGAUAAUGACAGUACCUGGAGAAUAAGCUCCGGCUAACUCCGUGCCAGCCGCCGCAGUAAAAC
rnacentral:rRNA from 1 species